rnacentral:lncRNA from 1 species
GCCAUAUGGGAGGUCAGCUGGAGAUGAGGGAGACUGAAAAUUGGAGAUAACCCCAGAGAUGACGGGCAGGUUACCCUCUGUCCUCAGAUGGGAGGGGAGGUGGCUGGGGAAAGGAUUCCAACUCUGAGUUCUAUUGUGGGAAGGUGAGCAGAGUCAAGCUCUGUGGCUCAGUGGAACUUAUUCCUGCCCACAAGCUCAACAUCUCCACCUCUGCCCCCAGCAGUGGAGUUAUGACAGCAAAGGAGACAAGGUGAAUAGGGAUCACCCCAGAGGAUCAGUAUGGGAUGAGGCCAGCCGGUGAAUCACCCACGCUCCCAAGGAACCCACGCCACAGGAACACACACCUCCAGGUUUCUCCCAUCUCCGUAAGAUCUUGAGGACCUUCAACAGCACUUCAGCAAAAAACAUUUUCAGGUUUCCUCAGACUCACCGUGAUAUUCCUUUACCUCCAUCCAGAACUCAGAUAACGUGUCACUCUAGUCACCCUGAAGAUUUGCCUCUUGAAAACAUAAUCGCCGUGCAGUAAAGAGGAGACCAAAAUAGAACCACAUACAGCUGCCGAAAAGUGCUGAAGAAUAUGGCGCUAAGGAGAGAAAGACACCACUAGCCAAAGGGGCAGUUUCAGCAGAAGGCUUCAGAGACCCCCGGAAGCAGACAGAAAGAAGUCCACAUGCCUUGCUGGCUGAGGAGCAAAUCGGGUCAUGAAUUUCAUCUCAGCAAUAGCCAAUAAACACAGCAGCUGCUAUACCCAGCCCUGAGACAUCUAGCACAGGAGACUUUAUAAAGAACAAGCCGAUCUCCUCUGGCAAGCAAGCCACAAAUGGAGAAGGUCUUGGCAGGAUUUUUGUGUCCUUUAUUCAUAUGGUAUCAGCACCUAAAACAGUGCCUGGCAUUAAAGCACUAGGUAAAUAUGAGUGACUGAAGAAAUACAUGCGUGGGGAGAGAAUAUAAACCAGCAGCACCAGUUAGUAACUAUACAAAGGUAAGCAAGCCAUUCAGUCUCUAGGAGCCUCUAUUUCUUCAUCAGGAAAAUAGGGUAAUGACACCUACUUUGAAAGGGUCUUAUAAGAAUUAAGGCCGGGCACAGUGGCUCAUGCCUGUAAUCUCAGCACUUUGGGAAGCCAAACUAGGUGGAUCACUUGAGGUCAGGAGUUUGAGGCCAGCCUGGCUAACAUGGUGAAACCCUGUCUCUACCAAAAAUGUAAAAAAUAGCCGGG